CCGGGAGUUGUAGUUUCCCGCCCUCGGGGGCGCGGGGACAAAUUCCUUGACCCGAGGAGGAUAGGGAUGUGCCCUUCGGUCUUUCCUCGCAGCUCCAGGACAAGCUGGGGGUGGGAUGGAAGUCGAGGUCCCUAAUUUUGUGAGGGGCGGGUGCAGGGAGAAGGAGUAGUCUGCGGAAACGGAGCGGGUUGGAAGCCGGCUAGCGCCGCGCGCCCCCUCCCGGGACCCGCUCCUUCCCCGCUCCGGUCGGUCCUGGGGGCCCGCUUUCUUAUGGAAAUGAGGGGGGGCCGGGGGCGGGGAGCGGUCCCCGCGAGCUCACUGCGGCUUUCUCUCUCUCCCCUCUUCCCCCUCCCUGCCGCGCUCCCUCUCCGCUUCCCCCUCCCGCUCUCCCGUAGUCGAUCCCGGCGCCCAGCCGCGGGGAGAGGUUCUCGGCUGAGCAGACAAAGCCCGCAGCACCGAUGGGGGGAGAGCCGGACCCUGCGCGUUGUGGGGGCCAGGAAGGGGUGCCAAGCUGGGGCUGGAAUCCCCCGGCAAAGGAUGGGGUUCCCUCAUCCCUAAGCAACAAGCCAUCUCCCCUCGCCCGCCCCCCCGCCCCUCCAGUCUCGGAGAUUUCAGAGGCACCGACUGGGAGCCAGAAGAUCCUGGGAAGGAGAACCUUGACUGAGGAGCCCAGGAAGGCCCCGGAGUUGGGAAAGUUUGCCCCCUGGACUGGGGAUUUAACAUAAGAUCAACAGUAAACCUUAUUGUGAAAUUCGAUGCUACUGCCACCAAGCAAGAGUGAAAGAGGAAGAAUUGGAGAGACAGGACCCUGGAGAGUGGGGCUGUUUCUGCCUCUUGUCCCCUCUGCCUGCCCCAGGAACCUGGAUUGCAGAGACUGUGGUACUGGGGACCAUGAGGUCUCUUUGGAAGAAAGUGUUUGCUUUGUGGAUCAGGUGACUGUUUUCACAUUAAUAGAAAUAGCAAAUAGUU